rnacentral:rRNA from 1 species
UACGGAGGGUGCAAGCGUUAAUCGGAAUUACUGGGCGUAAAGCGUGCGCAGGCGGUUUUGUUAAGUCUGCUGUGAAAUCCCCCGAGCUCAACUUGGGAAUUGCAGUGGAUACUGGCAGGCUGGAGUAUGGUAGAGGAAGGUGGAAUUCCCGGUGUAGCAGUGAAAUGCGUAGAGAUCGGGAGGAACACCAGUGGCGAAGGCGGCCUCUGGACCAAUACUGACGCUCAUGCACGAAAAGCGUGGGGGAGCAAACAGG